CCCUUAGACGUUCUGGGCCGCACGCGCGCUACACUGACGAAGGCAACGAGCUUUCCUUUACCGAAAGGUACGGGUAAUCUUUUGAAACUUCGUCGUGCUGGGGAUAGAUCCUUGUAAUUUUUGAUCUUAAACGAGGAAUGCCUAGUAAGCGCAAGUCAUCAACUUGCGUUGAUUACGUCCCUGCCCUUUGUACACACCGCCCGUCGCUACUACCGAUUGAAUGGUUUAGUGAGGCCUUCGGAUCCGCGACUCGUUUGUGGAGAAGUUGGACAAACUCAGUCAUUUAGAGGAAGUAAAAGUCGUAACA
rnacentral:rRNA from 1 species